rfam:Camelus ferus unplaced genomic scaffold scaffold466, whole genome shotgun sequence.
GAGGGUACAGCUCAGUGAUAAAGUACGUGCCUAGCAAACACAAGGUCCUGGGUUCAGUCCCCAGUACCUCCA